UAACUACUGAGCAAGACUGGCCAGGGCCGGAAGUCCCCUCUCCUCUCCCACCGUAACUGGCAGAGCUGUAGGCAGCCUCCAUACCAAACCUCCUGAAACAAGACGUGGUGGGCCGACCAGAAUUCCCUGACGCAGGAUGUCGAGGGGCAAUGGCUGGCUGGCGUCAUCGCAUCGGGGGGUGCCACAGGGGCGGAGGGCGUCUCUGGUCCCAGCAGUAUGGGGUUGCUUCCCAGCCCUUCUGUUGACCGGCUCUGCCAUCUGAGUGCGUUGGGCUUCUCUGGCCUCGGUUACCUGGAGAUCACAGUAUUACUGGAAAGGGGACCUGGCCCUUGGCAGGUCUGCCUGGAGCCAGCUGGCAGUGUUGCUGACUUUGCGCAGGAAAAAUCUCACAACACUAGUCCAGGUCACCGAGCGCUGAGAUUGUUACCGCAAUGUGACACAGCCCAUCCUGAGCAGUACGUGAACCGGUAUUCACGUUUCUAGGAUAUACUUACUCCUCAG